AGUGAACGCUGGCGGCAGGCCUAACACAUGCAAGUCGAGCGGCAGCACAGUAAGAGCUUGCUCUUACGGGUGGCGACUGGCGGACGAGUGAGGCAUACAUCGUAUUCUUCUUUUUCUUGGGGGAUAACGUAGAGCAACCUACACUACUACCACAUACGUUCUACGGGUCAAAGCAGGGGUUCUUCGGACCCUGCGCGUUUGAAUGAGCCGAGUACGAAUUAGCUUGUCGGUGGGGUAAAGGCCCACCAAGGCAACGAUCCGUAGCUUGUCUGGCAGGAUGAUACGCAACACUGGAACUGCGACACGGUCCAGACUCCUACGGGAGGCAGCCGUGGGGAAUAUUGGACAAUGGGCGGAAGCCUGAUACAGCUAAACCGCGUGCGUGAAGAAGGCAUUCGGAUUGUAAAGCACUUUUUUUGGGGAAGAAAAGAUGGGGGUUAAAACCGCGCUAUUCUGACGGUACCCAAUGAUUAAGACACGGCUAACUUCGUG
rnacentral:rRNA from 1 species